GAGGAGUGAUGAGACUGGAGAUGGUUUCGCAUUUUCACUGAACUCUGUGAUGUCAUCAUCUCUUGGCUGUCUGACCUC
ensembl:snoRNA Small nucleolar RNA SNORD53/SNORD92